AUUCAUGCCAGGAUAACUUGGUAUGGCAAGUUUGCAUGACUCAGCAGGAACCGUGUGCAAGGGAGCAGCGUAUUUGGUUAAUUCCAUAAUUCUUCAAAAUUAUAACCCAAGUGGAUGAGUAAUCUUAGAAUAUAACCAUUGUAUAUACAACGAUUUUGUUAAAGCCAUUGGUCAUAGUGGGUCUCAUGUGAGUUUCAUUAUGAACAACUGUCAAAAUCAAUAUGUCGUAUGUAUAACCUGUCUGGUGGCAAUAACGUACUCAGAUGCUGUGAAAAUCCCAUUCAUU
rnacentral:misc_RNA from 1 species